UACUGCACGGGGAAGUCGCUCGUCUCACGUUUAGUCUUAGUGCUCCAUCUCGAAAAUUUUAAAUUAUAAUAUACUCAGGAGCUUCUAGGGAGCUCCUGAAUUACUCGAGUAUCUUCAUCGGCUAGAGUACCAAAUAUUCGUCGAAGGAGGGACGGCGACGUCGCCGCUAAUUUUAGUCUCUCGACCGGCCAAAGCUUAAUAUCGUUCGCAGUUGUUUCACCUCCGACGGCACCUCUAUGCCGACGACAUAACGCUUACAGUCGGCGAUACUCCGAGUUGAAUUAAUUUUGAACUGAGUUCUAUUGUGACUAUUUGGUAGAGGAAAAACUUAAGACUUACCAUUUUGUGCCAAUUA